UACGAAGGGGGCUAGCGUUGCUCGGAAUCACUGGGCGUAAAGCGCACGUAGGCGGAUUGCUAAGUCAGUGGUGAAAUCCUGGAGCUCAACUCCAGAACUGCCCUUGAUACUGGCGGUCUCGAGUCCGGGAGAGGUGAGUGGAACUGCGAGUGUAGAGGUGAAAUUCGUAGAUAUUCGCAAGAACACCAGUGGCGAAGGCGGCUCACUGGCCCGGUACUGACGCUGAGGUGCGAAAGCGUGGGGAGCAAACGGG
rnacentral:rRNA from 1 species